rnacentral:misc_RNA from 1 species
GAUGAAGAACGCAGCGAAAUGCGAUAAGUAGUGUGAAUUGCAGAAUUCAGUGAAUCAUCGAAUCUUUGAACGCACAUUGCGCCCCUUGGUAUUCCAUGGGGCAUGCCUGUUCGAGCGUCAUUUGUACCCUCAAGCUUUGCUUGGUGUUGGGCGUUUUGUCGUAUUACGACUCGCCUUAAAUACAUUGGCAGCCGGCACUUUGGCCUAGGAGCGCAGCACAUUUUGCGAUCGUAGCCCGUUGUACUGGCGUCCAUCAAGAACAUUUACCACGUUUGACCUCGGAUCAGGUAGGGAUACCCGCUGAACUUAAGCAUAUCAAUAAGCGGAGGA